AGGUAAGCUACUAAGAGCGAAUGGUGGAUGCCUUGACUGGUAAAGGCGAUGAAGGACGUACUAGACUGCGAUAAGCUACGGGGAGCUGUCAAGAAGCUUUGAUCCGUAGAUUUCCGAAUGGGGCAACCCAAUGUAUAGAGAUAUACAUUACCUAUAUAGGAGCGAACGAGGGGAAUUGAAACAUCUUAGUACCCUCAGGAAAAGAAAUCAAUAGAGAUUGCGUCAGUAGCGGCGAGCGAAAGCGCAAGAGGGCAAACCCAGUGCUUGCACUGGGGGUUGUAGGACUGCAAUGUGCAAGAGGUAAGUUUAGCAGAACAUUCUGGAAAGUAUAACCAUAGAGGGUGAUAGUCCCGUAUGCGAAAAACAAACCUUAGCUAGCAGUAUCCUGAGUAGGGCGGGACACGAGGAAUCCUGUCUGAAUCCGGGUCGACCACGAUCCAACCCUAAAUACUAAUACCAGAUCGAUAGUGCACAAGUACCGUGAGGGAAAGGUGAAAAGAACUGAGGUGAUCAGAGUGAAAUAGAACCUGAAACCAUUUGCUUACAAUCAUUCAGAGCCCUAUGUAGGAAUACAGGGUGAUGGACUGCCUUUUGCAUAAUGAGCCUGCGAGUUGUGGUGUCUGGCAAGGUUAAGCAAACGCGAAGCCGUAGCGAAAGCGAGUCUGAAUAGGGCGCUUAGUCAGAUGCUGCAGACCCGAAACGAAGUGAUCUAUCCAUGAGCAAGUUGAAGCUAGUGUAAGAACUAGUGGAGGACUGAACCCAUAGGCGUUGAAAAGCCCCGGGAUGACUUGUGGAUAGGGGUGAAAGGCCAAUCAAACUUCGUGAUAGCUGGUUCUCUCCGAAAUAUAUUUAGGUAUAGCGUUGUGUCGUAAUAUAAGGGGGUAGAGCACUGAAUGGGCUAGGGCAUACACCAAUGUACCAAACCCUAUCAAACUCCGAAUACCUUAUAUGUAAUCACAGCAGUCAGGCGGCGAGUGAUAAAAUCCGUCGUCAAGAGGGAAACAACCCAGACUACCAGCUAAGGUCCCUAAAUCUUACUUAAGUGGAAAACGAUGUGAAGUUACUUAAACAACCAGGAGGUUGGCUUAGAAGCAGCCAUCCUUUAAAGAAAGCGUAAUAGCUCACUGGUCUAGUGAUUUUGCGCGGAAAAUAUAACGGGGCUAAAGUAAGUACCGAAGCUGUAGACUUAGUUUACUAAGUGGUAGGAGAGCGUUCUAUUUGCGUCGAAGGUAUACCGGUAAGGAGUGCUGGAGCGAAUAGAAGUGAGCAUGCAGGCAUGAGUAGCGAUAAUUAAUGUGAGAAUCAUUAACGCCGUAAACCCAAGGUUUCCUACGCGAUGCUCGUCAUCGUAGGGUUAGUCGGGUCCUAAGUCGAGUCCGAAAGGGGUAGACGAUGGCAAAUUGGUUAAUAUUCCAAUACCAACAUUAGUGUGCGAUGGAAGGACGCUUAGGGCUAAGGGGGCUAGCGGAUGGAAGUGCUAGUCUAAGGUCGUAGGAGGUUGUACAGGCAAAUCCGUAUAACAAUACUCCGAGAACUGAAAGGCUUUUUGAAGUCUUCGGAUGGAUAGAAGAACCCCUGAUGCCGUCGAGCCAAGAAAAGUUUCUAAGUUUAGCUAAUGUUGCCCGUACCGUAAACCGACACAGGUGGGUGGGAUGAGUAUUCUAAGGCGCGUGGAAGAACUCUCUUUAAGGAACUCUGCAAAAUAGCACCGUAUCUUCGGUAUAAGGUGUGGUUAGCUUCGUACUAGGAUUUACUCCGAAAGCGAAGAAACUUACAACAAAGAGUCCCUCCCGACUGUUUACCAAAAACACAGCACUCUGCUAACUCGUAAGAGGAUGUAUAGGGUGUGACGCCUGCCCGGUGCUCGAAGGUUAAUUGAUGGGGUUAGCAUUAGCGAAGCUCUUGAUCGAAGCCCGAGUAAACGGCGGCCGUAACUAUAACGGUCCUAAGGUAGCGAAAUUCCUUGUCGGUUAAAUACCGACCUGCAUGAAUGGCGUAACGAGAUGGGAGCUGUCUCAAAGAGGGAUCCAGUGAAAUUGUAGUGGAGGUGAAAAUUCCUCCUACCCGCGGCAAGACGGAAAGACCCCGUGGACCUUUACUACAGCUUGACACUGCUACUUGGAUAAGAAUGUGCAGGAUAGGUGGGAGGCUUUGAGUAUAUGACGCCAGUUGUAU
rnacentral:rRNA from 1 species